UACGAAGGGUGCAAACGUUGCUCGGAAUCAUUGGGCGUAAAGCGCACGUAGGCGGCCCGAUAAGUCGGAUGUGAAAACCAGAGGCUCAACCUCUGGCCUGCAUCCGAUACUGCCCGACUAGAGGUAGGUAGGGGGAGAUCGGAAUUCCUGGUGUAGCGGUGAAAAUGCGCGAUAUCAGGAGGAACACCGGUGGCGAAAGGCAGCUCGCUGGGGACGGUACUG
rnacentral:rRNA from 1 species